rnacentral:tRNA from 1 species
GGUCCCAUGGUGUAAUGGUGAGAACUCCAGUCUCUGAAUUCAGCGAUCUGAGAUCAAAUCUCAGUGGGACCU